CUGGGUUGCUGCCACCGCUGCCACCGUCGUGCAAGCCCCUCAGGUCUCCGCGAGGCCAGGUGACGCUCAAGAAUGGGAGACAAGCCAGUUUGGGAGCUGAUUGGAUCCAGCUUCAUUCAACAUUACUACCAGUUAUUUGGUAACGAUAGAACGCAACUAGGCGCAGUUUACAUUGAUGCCUCAUGCCUUACAUGGGAAGGACAACAGUUCCAGGGGAAAGCUGCCAUUGUGGAGAAGUUGUCCAGCCUUCCGUUCCAGAAAAUCCAGCACAGCCUCAUGGCGCAGGACCAUCAGCCUAUGCCAGAUAGCUGCAUCAUCAGCAUGGUUGUGGGCCGGCUUAAGGCGGAUGAAGACCCCAUCAUGGGAUUCCACCAGAUGUUCCUAUUAAAGAACAUCCAGGAUGCUUGGGUUUGCACCGAUGACAUGUUCAGGCUUGCCCUGUACAACUUCGGCUGACCUCCUCUCAGCCAGGCACUAACGCUGUUUCCUCCUCCUUCCUCUUUCCAAUACUAUUCCUACUCCUCCAGAUGCUCCGAAUAUCAUGCACAAGUAAGCAGGGCCGCGGCGAGAGUGGGCGCAGUGCGCUGCUGCCACCGAGGUGUUGUGCAUGAUGUUUGGACGCUAGACUAGUUACAUCUGAUAGAAGUUUGUGUUGUACCAGCGUGUGCCUUGGAAAGACUUAAGUAAUGCAAAAGUUGUCCUCUUUUUGUUUUUUGUUUGUUUUAAUAUACUGACAAGUUGCUUUAGUAACCCAAAGCAGUGAAGGAGAAAGCAGCUCCCUCACCGCCCAGACAUUGAUUUGUUCAGAUGUCUCAAUGCCUUAUGAUACAAUAAAACCACAAAAAU